rnacentral:rRNA from 1 species
AUUGAACGCUAGCGGCAGGCCUAACACAUGCAAGUCGAACGAGUGGCGGACGGGUGAGUAAUGACUGGGAAACUGCCCGAUGGAGGGGGCUCACUCCUGGAAACUGUAGCUAAUACCGCAUACCAUCGGAUGUGCCCAGAUGGGACUAGCUAGUAGGUGGGGUAACGGCUCACCUAGGCGACGAUCCCUAGCUGGUCUGAGAGGAUGACCAGCCACACUGGAACGCAGAAACGGUCCAGACGCGUACGGGAGGCAGCAGUGGGGAAUAUGGCACAAUGGGCGCAAGCCUGAUGCAGCCGUGCCGCGUGUAUGAAGAGGGCCGUUGGGUUGUAAAGUACUUUCAGCGAGGAGGCGUUACUCGCAGGAGAAGCACCGGCUAACUCCGUGCCAGCAGCCGCGGUAAUAC